rnacentral:lncRNA from 1 species
ACCAAUAUCAGCGAACAAACAACCAGCGAACACCGACCAAUAAUCCAACAACCAAUACACAACCCGAACCACCAGCCACCGUCGAAUCACAUAAACCGACCCAACCGACCUGAAUUCGACCCGCAACCCAUGACCCGAACUAGCAUAUUGGCUCAACAGCCCGAGAACCUUCUAGAAAACAGCAAUACACGGAUCGCUCCAUGAGGAACUGAUAUACGACACAAACGCACACACGCACAGAUCAGGAGAAAGGAAAGAAGAUUGAGUGAUAGAGAGGGGGUUUGAGAGAGAAAUCGACAAGAGAGGGGAAAAUUGUGAGAGAGAGCUGCGAGAGAGAGAGAGAGAGCUGCGAGGGAGAAGUCGGGGUUAACAUUUUCGCCGAGCUGAUCACCGUAAAAACACUCGCUGUCACCGAAAUACGACCCUCUUCCAUCAGUUUUGCCGCCGUCUGAAUUCUGGAGUUCCGGCCAUACAUCUUUUUCUUGGUUUUUCUUGUAAAAUUUGGAUAUUUGUUGGUUCACUGCUCUUGGCGGAUUUUUGUUCGUAUAUUGUCUGUUCUGAGUUAUUUUAUCUUGGGGUCAUUGAAAGAUGGUAAAAGGGAUGCAUACUGGAGCUGGGGGUUUGAGUUGAGGUUUCGAAUCGAGAUUCUUCAGCACGCGGAUUCUUCCUCUCGAUUGAUUGAUAUUCGGAAUAAAAUCAUCAUUGAGGUCCAUUUCUACUCCUUUCUUUUUUUUUUAUUUUCAUUGUUGAUGGAAUAUGGUGUAUUGGAUGGAAUCCGUGUGAUGUUUGAUCUUGAUUAGUGAUGAAUUGCUACUUCGAUAUUGACUUGUUGCUUAAUUUCAUUGAAAUAGAAAUCAUGAAUUGAAAAAAUUAGAGUUAAAAGGGAAUUUGGGGGUGAGAAUUGAAAACUUGAUAUAAUUGGUGAAUUUUGGUUAGCUUGAUUCAUGAGUUGUUUGACUUGAAAUGAACUUUAAUUGAUCUUGGUAGUAUUAUGAUACGUCGAUUGGUUUAGGCAAACAUAGAUUGGGUAGGCAAAAUUUAGGAAUGGUAUUUCCAUUGAAUGUUUGGUUGCGCGUUUGUGGAAUGUCUUCUAGUUUAUUGCAUUGGAUUCAAGUGUAUUCAUUUGUCCGGGGAAUGCCCCGAGGUUUCAUGUAUUUAUCCACCGGGGAAUGCCCCAAGGUUUCAAUGUAUUUAUUCACCGGGGAAUGCCCCCGUAAUAUUAUGUUGGCGGAAGAUGAUCGAGAUGAAGGUCCGAGGCAUCGGGUGAAGCAUUGGAGCUUAGUCUAGAUUUAGUUUAGAACAAGGUUUAUAUUUUGGUAUUUUUUUUUCUAUCUUUGGACUGUAUGAUUGGACUGGGACUUUACAUUUUGGAUUGUUUUGUUUUGUUUAUUGUUUGAUUAUUUUGCGUGCUUUUGUGUGGUUUAUACAUUUCUUAGUGUCAGAAAAUAGUCGAUACACUCUACCAAGCGACCAUGGUUGAACCACGGGAUCGAGGGGUGCCUAACACCUUCCCCUCGUUCAACAGAAUUCAUUAGCCGGAAUCUCUGUUCGCAAACCAUUUUAAAGAGUCAAAUGGUUUUGGAAAGGAUUUUUCAAUGGUGACUUGGCACACCAGAUUAUGCCAAGUGGCGACUCUGAAUAAAAAAUAUAAAUAAUUUUUUUCCAAAAUAAAUUUUCAGUUCUUGUCACUUAAAUAAUAAAACCCUUUAGAACAUUCAAUUAUAAUCAUUUUGGAGUCGAAAAAGGGGUGUAACAAUAAUUACUUUUUUUUUAAAAGCUCCCAUGUGACAAAAUGGAAUUUACCUAAUAAAUCAAAGACUAAUUUUGGAUCAAGUAAUUUGAGUAUGUUCUUUAUAAUAAUCAACUUACAUUUUCUCUUCAAUAAAUAUUUU